rnacentral:rRNA from 1 species
GACGAACCGUGCGAACGUUGUUCGGAUUCACUGGGCUUAAAGGGCGCGUAGGCGGCCGGUCAAGUCAGGGGUGAAAUCUUUCGGCUCAACCGUGGAAGUGCCCUUGAUACUGGUGGCCUCGAGGGAGGCAGGGGCGUGCGGAACUUUGGGUGGAGCGGUGAAAUGCGUAGAUAUCCAAAGGAACACCGGUGGCGAAAGCGGCGCGCUGGACCGCUUCUGACGCUGAGGCGCGAAAGCCAGGGGAGCAAACGGG